CUGCAGCCUGAGUGGUGGUCGAUAUUAUUGAGCCUAAAGCGUCCGUAGCCGGACUAGUAAAUUCUUGGGUAAAUCGGGCAGCUUAACUGUCCGACUUCCGAGGAGACUGCUGGUCUUGGGACUGGGAGAGGUCAGAGGUACUCCAGGGGUAGGGGCUAAAUCCUGUAAUCCUUGGGGGACCACCAGUGGCGAAGGCGUCUGACUAGAACGGAUCCGACGGUAAGGGACGAAGCCCUGGGGCGCAAACCGGAUUAGAUACCCGAGUAGUCC
rnacentral:rRNA from 1 species